CAAUAGCGUAUAUUAAAGUUGUUGCAGUUAAAAGCUCGUAGUUGGAUCUCGGGAGCGAGCGGGCGGUCGGGCGUUCAGCCGUGCACUUCCCGCUCAUCCUACUGUCCGGUACGUGCCCUGUGCUCUUAACCGAGUGUAGGGAGCGUCUGGAGCGUUUACUUUGAAAAAAUUAGAGUGUUCAAAGCAGGCAACCGCUCUGAAUACAUUAGCAUGGAAUAACGCUAUAGGACUCUGGUCCUAUUGUGUUGGUCUUCGGGACCGGAGUAAUGAUUAAGAGGGACAGUUGGGGGCAUUCGUAUUUCAUUGUCAGAGGUGAAAUUCUUGGAUUUAUGAAAGACGAACUUCUGCGAAAGCAUUUGCCAAGGAUGUUUUCAUUAAUCAAGAACGAAAGUUGGGGGCUCGAAGAUGAUCAGAU
rnacentral:rRNA from 1 species